rnacentral:tRNA from 1 species
GGAUAUAGCUCAGUUGGCAAAGUGCUUGUCUUGCAAGCACAAGGCCCUGGGUUCAAUCCCCAGCACCA